CCUACGGGAGGCAGCAGUAGGGAAUUUUGCGCAAUGGGCGAAAGCCUGACGCAGCAACGCCGCGUGAUCGAGACGCCCUUCGGGGUGGAAAGAUCUGUCAGUGGGGACGAAAGUUGACGGUAACCACAGAGGAAGCACCGGCUAACUCCGGGCCAGCAGCCGCGGUAAUACGGGGGGUGCAAGCGUUGUCCAGAAUCAUAGGGGUGAAAGAGUUCUUAGGCGGCACGUAAAGUCUGGUGUUAAAGGCAGAGUCACAACUUCUUUACUGCACUGGUUACUUGCGAGCUAGAAUGAGGUAGAGGUAAAGGGAAUUCCAGGUGUAGCGGUGACAUGCUUAGAUAUCAGGAGGAACAUCGGUGGCGUAAGCGCUUUACUGGGCCGUAAUUGACGCUGAGGAACGAAAGCCAGGGUAGCAAAUGGGAUUAGAUACCCUGGUAGUC
rnacentral:rRNA from 1 species